rnacentral:rRNA from 1 species
UACGGAGGGUGCGAGCGUUAUCCGGAAUUAUUGGGCGUAAAGAGCUCGUAGGCGGUUUGUCGCGUCUGCUGUGAAAACCCGAGGCUCAACCUCGGGCCUGCAGUGGGUACGGGCAGACUAGAGUGAUGUAGGGGAGACUGGAAUUCCUGGUGUAGCGGUGAAAUGCGCAGAUAUCAGGAGGAACACCGAUGGCGAAGGCAGGUCUCUGGGCAUUAACUGACGCUGAGGAGCGAAAGCAUGGGGAGCGAACAGG